AACGAACGCUGGCGGCAGGCCUAACACAUGCAAGUCGAGCGCCCCGCAAGGGGAGCGGCGGACGGGUGAGUAACGCGUGGGAAUAUGCCCUUUGCUACGGAAUAGUCUCGGGAAACUGGGGGUAAUACCGUAUACGCCCUUUGGGGGAAAGAUUUAUCGGCGAAGGAUUAGCCCGCGUUGGAUUAGGUAGUUGGUGGGGUAAUGGCCUACCAAGCCGACGAUCCAUAGCUGGUUUGAGAGGAUGAUCAGCCACACUGGGACUGAGACACGGCCCAGACUCCUACGGGAGGCAGCAGUGGGGAAUCUUAGACAAUGGGGGCAACCCUGAUCUAGCCAUGCCGCGUGAGUGAUGAAGGCCUUAGGGUUGUAAAGCUCUUUCAGCUGGGAAGAUAAUGACGGUACCAGCAGAAGAAGUCCCGGCUAACUCCGUG
rnacentral:rRNA from 1 species